ensembl:lncRNA
AUAGGAUAUAUAGGUAUAAUAGUAUAAUAGGAUAUAUUAAAGGUAUAAUAGGAUAUAUAGGUAUAAGAAGUAUAAUAGGAUAUAUAGGUAUAAGAAGUAUAAUAGGAUAUUAAUAAAGUAUAAUAGGAUAUAUAGGCAUUAGUAAGAAAGGAUGAAGUGGGGCAAUCUAUCCUAAAAUAUCCGUUUAACAAACAGCUGAUUUGUGGGGUCCGACAGUUUGUGAGGACCCUGAGGGAGAGCUGUUCUCUCUUUUCUCACAAUAUAACGAGUCGCACACACAGUCAUGCCAGGAGACAAUUUCCUCUCGCUCCAGGUGUGAAGAAAAACACUGAAGCAAAAAAAAAAAACUUUCCUGACACCCAGAAAAAAAAGAAAAAUGGGACGAGGUCUGGGAUCCAGACUCCGAUGGCCCAGUCCGUCCACGUUAACGUAAAACAGCGACUUGUAGGAAAUAAAAGCAAUAUAAAAACUUUACACACGGGGACUUUCUCUCUCCAAGAGAAGGAAAAGGGGUGUACAAAAAGGCUCAUUUUACACUCCAAUAUUUCAGAAAGGAAUCACGGACAUGUUUGCUUGCAGCCUGGAGCAUUUUGUCUUGUACUUCAUGCAGAAAUGUAAAACCAUAGGAUUCUGGGACGGUUACAUAACGGCGACCUCAUCCUUUUUGGAAAGCUGGGGA